rnacentral:sRNA from 1 species
CCAACAUUGCUGCGGGCAAAUGAAGUGAAUGUGCGUAUCAAUGCCACCGGCCGUGACGAUCUUGCCUUCGCCGGAAAUCGCUUCCGUCCCUGGGCCGAUUUCCAUGCCUGGCGUCACACCCGCCAUGAGAUCAGAGUUGCCCGCCUUGCCGAUCCCGACGAUCCGGCCGUCCUUGAUGCCGAUGUCGGCCUUGAUGACACCGGUGUAGUCAAGGAUGAGCGCGUUCGUGAUCACGCAGUCGAGCUGCCCGCUGGUGCUGGUCGCGCGCGCGGACUGCCCCAUGCCGUCACGAAUGG